CCUGAACCGGCCUCUAAUCCCAGAUUGUUGCCCCAAUCCUGGGCGGAGGGUGGUUUGGGAGGCAGAAAGGUCCUGGUAACACCGCCUCUAAUCCAGGUGCAGAUGCUGAAAAGAACGGAGCUCUGCACCAGCCUGCUUUGGCCUCCCUGCCUCCUUUUGCCCUUGCCGCUCCUGUGGACAGGGGAUGCGUGGUCCUCCCCGCCUCCUCCCCCAUCCAGCUGUGUGUGCCCCUGCAGGUGUGUGUGCCUGUCCAGGUGUGUGUGCUCACCCAGCCAUGCGCACUGUCAGCCCCUGGCUGCUCCAGACAGGUGUCAUCGCGCCUGUGGGACUGCGAGGUCUAGAGUUCACUCCUUUGUCUCGGCUGCGUGCGCCUGCUCUGAGUGGUUCUGAGAACCUCAAGGCCUGCUGGGCCCUGCAACGAGGACCACUUACAUCAUCACACCUAACACCUCAGCAGCCCUGCGCUGGCGGCAUAAUUAGCAUCUCAGCUCAGAGAUGGGGAAGCGAGGCCGACAUGGUGAGGUCUCCCCGACACAGGUAUGGGUCUGUCUCCCCCACAAACCAUGCCUGGGCUUACUUCUAAGAAGGCUGAGGUGACCAAGUCUGAUCUGAGGUCAGUAGCAUCCUGCAGGUGCCCUCACCCACCUCCCACGCAGCUGUGACUGGGGUCCCUGUCUUGGCAUGCGCUUACAGCGUGGGGUACAGAGAACAGAGCGCACUCUUCCCCUCGGGUGUGAAUGAUCAAAUCCUCAAACUACCCACCUGUGAUGGAGAACACCCGGUUCCCCCUCCCACUUCUAUUAUGUUUUCAGAGGCUUGGAAACAGUCGGAGUUUGGGGGUGUAUUGUCCUUGGCAGUGACCUUGGAAAGGGGUGCUGGCAUCUGGAGGAAGCUAGAUGGGAGGGGUCAUGUCUGAAGCACAGAGACAGUGUAGAUCCUCGCUACCAAGUGGCAGACAUUGCCAGGGGACACUAGCUUCCACCCCAAAGUGGUGGUGGGGGGGCACAGAGAAGCUGGGAGAUCCCCAGUAGGAUCCGUGUGGAGUCCUGAGACUUCUGUUCUGGUUUCAGACGUGGAUGCUGUGCCUUCUUGGCAGUCUCGGUUGUCCUCUGAGGUCUAGGCCAGCCUUGGAGCUUGCCUUCUGGACCCAGAGGUCCCAAAGAUAGUGUUCCUUUUCCUGCUCCACCCUGUCCUCCUCCUCUUGAUUUCUCCCUCAGCCAUUUAUUUCUCUUUAUUUGUAGUAUGUGUUCAAUGCAAAUUCCCUAAUAUGAGAAAGUCACUGUGAAUCCGAGCAUUGUUACACAGAUAUAAGGAUGAUCUAAGCAGAUGUUCCACACACGAACAGAAAGCAACAAGGAGUAUUCAUGAGGCAUACAAAAGCUUGAGAUGUGUUGGAGAUGCUUGUUUCGUAUUGUUUUCUAAGAAUGACAAAUAUUUGCUUUUGUUAUCAAGGGUAUACGCCUGUCUGGACCCUGGAACACCAGAGUAUCGUCGUGGUAAUCAAAAAAAUCAAUGAGUGCAUGCCGGGGUCCAGCCCCGGUGGAUCCAGGGAAUUUGAAGGGUGGACGGAGUCGGCGAGGAAAACUUAUUUAUUUAUUAAUGUAAGAUUAGAUUAGGAAGAAAUAGUGUAGUAGGAAGAUUAAGUGGAGAGAAGAGGCUGAUUAACUUGGGUUACGUGGAAAACCAAUAAAGUUCCAGACAAGGAGCUUGCACCAUCUAUGUUAGGCCGCCGGCGCCCGUUUGAAUAUCGGAGAGUGCCCCGCCUUGGUCUCUCUCUCUUACGGAUCUUAAAAGCCGGGACAAGUAAGUAGACAUAGUGAGCCUCCACGCCCCAGAUGGGAAUUCAGCCUGAAAUUACAGUAAAGAGGAGACAUGGGGGAAACCAGUCCAGUGACUGGCUCUCCUUCUAUUGUCCUUCAAGGCCUUUUAUACUUUUGAUUAUACAUAGAGAUCAAUGGGUAAUACAAAAUUAUGUAGCGUUCGCAGCCCAGACUCUUUCUGUAUAUCUUUUUGUAUACAAAAGGUCUCAGGUGAUUUACAUUAUCUUCUGGCCAAGAGGCUUGUUAACACCUUUUGGCUCUUUUCCUUAAUGAAUGUUAAUUUCGUUUCCCCUGAAGUGUUUUUCUUUAAUCUGCAUCUCCUUAAAGCAUUAAAGUUAUAUCUCUAUAGAACAAAGGUGCAGUGGGUUAUAACAAAGAAGGUACUUAACUCAAAAAUCUAAUGUUGCUAAUACCAGGUCUACUACUCGUUUUUCUAUAUACCAACUAUAUCUAAAAAUAAAGGAUAUGAAAAUUUGGCAGCAAGUAUUGGCUCAACAAAUGAAACUUUUAAUCAGUCUGAUUCUAAUGAUUUUGACUCCUCGGAAGCCCCUACAUUCCUAGGGUGUUUUAAGCUUCCUGUGCCUCCUGCGGUCAGGAGGCCUCAAACAAUCACAUGCACAGCUGUACGAGUCCUGCAGGCAGGCUAGAAAGCCAUCAGAGGGGUUUUUGGAUUGAAACACUCUUUCAAAUGCAGAAGACUAAAGCCCUGAAUUGACUUUUUCCAGAGAAUGUCAGAAGAGUGGAAAAGCAGGCAGAUUCUUAUUUUUGGGGGGUGGAUGCUCAGGAAAUUCCAGGGGAAAAACCUGAGGUCUGAUUAGCCUUGCCAUCAGAGCUCUGCCACAUGACCUUGUCACAGGUGGAAUUCUUCACGCUGGCUCCCGGCAAGUGCAUAUUUCUAAACACAGGCUUCUGCACACACAGACAGUUGUAUAAGACGUACUUUCCAGAAUCAAGCUGUUUUUAGACCGGGCAUCAGGUUCUAACCAUUUAAAACACUGGCUGACAGGGUGUGCUUCAAUGCUAGCCUUAUUCAUACAGGUGGAAAAAGUAUUUAUAAAAAUAGCAGAAAAGAAUUUUUAUGAGCUCAAUUCAGGUAAGUUUCCAACGUUCAAUUUACUUCAGUU
rnacentral:lncRNA from 1 species